rnacentral:rRNA from 10 species
GACUCUCGACAACGGAUAUCUCGGCUCUCGCAUCGAUGAAGAACGUAGUGAAAUGCGAUACUUGGUGUGAAUUGCAGAAUCCCGUGAACCAUCGAGUUUUUGAACGCAAGUUGCGCCCGAAGCCUUCUGGCCGAGGGCACGUCUGCCUGGGCGUCACG